rnacentral:rRNA from 1 species
CCUACGGGAGGCAGCAGUAGGGAAUCUUUCACAAUGGGCGAAAGCCUGAUGGAGCAACGCCGCGUGCAGGAUGAAGGCCUUCGGGUUGUAAACUGCUUUUAUAAGCGAGAAAUAUGAUGGUAACUUAUGAAUAAGGAUCGUCUAACUACGUGCCAGCAGCCGCGGUCAUACGUAGGAUCCGAGCAUUAUCCGGAGUGACUGGGUGUAAAGAGUUGCGUAGGUGGCAUAAUAAGUAGCUAGUGAAAUCUGGUGGCUCAACCAUUCAGACUAUUAGCUAAACUGUUAAGCUCGAGAACGUUAGGGGUAACUGGAAGUUCUAGUGUAGGAGUGAAAUCCGUAGAUAUUAGAAGGAACACCAAUAGCGUAGGCAGGUUACUGGGACGGUUCUGACACUAAGGCACGAAAGCGUAGGGAGCAAACGGGAUUAGAUACCCCAGUAGUC